rnacentral:rRNA from 1 species
GCACGGGUGCGUAACGCGUGAUGCAAUCUACCUUUCACAGAGGGAUAGCCCAGAGAAAUUUGGAUUAAUACCUCAUAGUAUUAUUUGGUGGCAUCACUUAAUAAUUAAAGUCACAACGGUGAAAGAUGAGCAUGCGUCCCAUUAGCUAGUUGGUAAGGUAACGGCUUACCAAGGCUACGAUGGGUAGGGGUCCUGAGAGGGAGAUCCCCCACACUGGUACUGAGACACGGACCAGACUCAUACGGGAGGCAGCAGUGAGGAAUAUUGGACAAUGGGCGCAAGCCUGAUCCAGCCAUGCCGCGUGCAGGAUGACGGUCCUAUGGAUUGUAAACUGCUUUUGUACGAGAAGAAACACUCCAACGUGUUGGAGCUUGACGGUAUCGUAAGAAUAAGGAUCGGCUAACUCCGUGCCAGCAGCCGCGGUAAUACGGAGGAUCCAAGCGUUAUCCGGAAUCAUUGGGUUUAAAGGGUCCGUAGGCGGUUUAGUAAGUCAGUGGUGAAAGCCCAUCGCUCAACGGUGGAACGGCCAUUGAUACUGCUGAACUUGAAUUAUUAGGAAGUAACUAGAAUAUGUAGUGUAGCGGUGAAAUGCUUAGAGAUUACAUGGAAUACCAAUUGCGAAGGCAGGUUACUACUAAUGGAUUGACGCUGAUGGACGAAAGCGUGGGUAGCGAACAGGAUUAGAUACCCUGGUAGUCCACGCCGUAAACGAUGGAUACUAGCUGUUGGAAGCAAUUUCAGUGGCUAAGCGAAAGUGAUAAGUAUCCCACCUGGGGGAGUACGUUCGCAAGAAUGAAACUCAAAGGAAUUGACGGGGGCCCGCACAAGCGGUGGAGCAUGUGGUUUAAUUCGAUGAUACGCGAGGAACCUUACCAAGGCUUAAAUGUA